GAUGAACGCUGGCGGCGUGCCUAAUACAUGCAAGUCGAGCGAAUGGAUUAAGAGCUUGCUCUUAUGAAGUUAGCGGCGGACGGGUGAGUACCACGUGGGUAACCUGCCCAUAAGACUGGGAUAACUCCGGGAAACCGGGGCUAAUACCGGAUAACAUUUUGAACCGCACGGUUCGAAAUUGAAAGGCGGCUUCGGCUGUCACUUAUGGAUGGACCCGCGUCGCAUUAGCUAGUUGGUGAGGUAACGGCUCACCAAGGCAACGAUGCGUAGCCGACAUGAGAGGGUGAUCGGCCACACUGGGACUGAGACACGGCCCAGACUCCUACGGGAGGCAGCAGUAGGGAAUCUUCCGCAAUGGACGAAAGUCUGACGGAGCAACGCCGCGUGAGUGAUGAAGGCUUUCGGGUCGUAAAACUCUGUUGUUAGGGAAGAACAAGUGCUAGUUGAAUAAGCUGGCACCUUGACGGUACCUAACCAGAAAGCCACGGCUAACUACGUGCCAGCCGCCGCCGUAA
rnacentral:rRNA from 1 species